CAAACAGCCUGCACUCCAGCUGUUCAGCAUCGCUCUUAAUAACUAACAAACAUAAUGUGGACAAGUCUAUAGACUGGAGAGGCUUUUGUCUAUUUAUUAAAAAGUGAAUAUCAGCUGGGACACCAAACCGGACUCAGGUCAGGUCAACAGCUGUGGCCCAGAGUCUGUGUCAGAGGGCAUCGAUCCCAUAAAACAAUGGAAUGCAGGGAUUGGUUAGUGAAACCUCCCUGUUCUGGGUCACCACAGUGGAUCAUCUGGUCCACGUAUUCGAGUUGGAACGGGUUCUGACCUGGUGUGGUGAUACAGUAUAUCUCUG